GACGAACGCUGGCGGCGUGCCUAAUACAUGCAAGUAGAACGCUGAAGGGAGAGCUUGCUCUUCUGGAUGAGUUGCGAACGGGUGAGUAACGCGUAGGUAACCUGCCUGGUAGCGGGGGAUAACUAUUGGAAACGAUAGCUAAUACCGCAUAACAUUGACUAUUGCAUGAUAGUCAAUUGAAAGGUGCAAUUGCACUACUACCAGAUGGACCUGCGUUGUAUUAGCUAGUUGGUGGGGUAACGGCUCACCAAGGCGACGAUACAUAGCCGACCUGAGAGGUGAUCGGCCACACUGGGACUGAGACACGGCCCAGACUCCUACGGGAGGCAGCAGUAGGGAAUCUUCGGCAAUGGACGGAAGUCUGACCGAGCAACGCCGCGUGAGUGAAGAAGGUUUUCGGAUCGUAAAGCUCUGUUGUAAGAGAAGAACGAGUGUGAGAGUGGAAAGUUCACACUGUGACGGUAUC
rnacentral:rRNA from 1 species